rnacentral:rRNA from 1 species
GAGGUUAAGCGACUAAGCGUACACGGUGGAUGCCCUGGCAGUCAGAGGCGAUGAAGGACGUGCUAAUCUGCGAUAAGCGCCGGUAAGGUGAUAUGAACCGUUAUAACCGGCGAUUUCCGAAUGGGGAAACCCAGUGUGACUCGUCACACUAUCAUUAACUGAAUCCAUAGGUUAAUGAGGCGAACCGGGGGAACUGAAACAUCUAAGUACCCCGAGGAAAAGAAAUCAACCGAGAUUCCCCCAGUAGCGGCGAGCGAACGGGGAGGAGCCCAGAGCCUGAAUCAGCAUGUGUGUUAGUGGAAGCGUCUGGAAAGGCGCGCGAUACAGGGUGACAGCCCCGUACACAAAAGCGCAUGUGCUGUGAGCUCGAUGAGUAGGGCGGGACACGUGGUAUCCUGUCUGAAUAUGGGGGGACCAUCCUCCAAGGCUAAAUACUCC